rnacentral:rRNA from 1 species
CCUACGGGAGGCAGCAGUGGGGAAUAUUGGGCAAUGGGCGCAAGCCUGACCCAGCAACGACGCGUGAAGGAAGAAGGCUUUCGGGUUGUAAACUUCUUUUAAGAGGGAAGAGCAGAAGACGGUACCUCUUGAAUAAGCCACGGCUAACUACGUGCCAGCAGCCGCGGUAAUACGUAGGUGGCAAGCGUUGUCCGGAUUUACUGGGUGUAAAGGGCGUGUAGCCGGGCUGACAAGGCAGAUGUGAAAUUCCGGGGCUCAACCCCGGACCUGCAUUUGAAACUGUUGGUCUUGAGUAUCGGAGAGGCAGGCGGAAUUCCUGGUGUAGCGGUGAAAUGCAUAGAUAUCAGGAGGAACACCGGUGGCGAAGGCGGCCUGCUGGACUGCAACUGACGUUGAGGCCCGAAAGCGUGGGGAGCAAACAGGAUUAGAUACCCGUGUAGUC